rnacentral:rRNA from 1 species
AUUGAACGCUGGCGGCAGGUCUAACACAUGCAAGUCGAACGAGUGGCGGACGGGUGAGUAAUGCCUGGGAACCUGCCCGAUGGAGGGGGAUCACUACUGGACACGGUAGCUAAUACCGCAUACCAGCGGCUGUGCCCAGAUGGGAUUAGCUAGUAGGUGGGGUAAAGGCUAACCUAGGCGACGAUCCCUAGCUGGUCUGAGAGGAUGACCAGCCACCCUGGAACUGAGACACGGUCCAGACUCCUACGGUAGGCAGCAGUGGGGAAUAUGGCACAAUGGGCGCAAGCCUGAUGCAGCCAUGCCGCGUGUAUGAAGAAGGCCUUCGGGUUGUAAAGUACUUUCAGCGGGGAGGCGUUACCCGCAGAAGAAGCACCGGCUAACUCCGUGCCAGCAGCCGCGGUAAUUC